AUUGAACGCUGGCGGCAUGCCUUACACAUGCAAGUCGAACGGUAGAGUAGCAAUACUUGAGAGUGGCGAACGGGUGAGUAAUAUAUCGGAACGUGCCCAGUCGUGGGGGAUAACGUAGAGAAAUUUACGCUAAUACCGCAUACGAUCUAAGGAUGAAAGCGGGGGAUUCGCAAGAACCUCGCGCGAUUGGAGCGGCUGAUAUCAGAUUAGGUUGUUGGGUGAGGUAAAAGCUCACCAAGCCGACGAUCUGUAGCUGGUUUGAGAGAACGACCAGCCACACUGGGACUGAGACACGGCCCAGACUCCUACGGGAGGCAGCAGUGGGGAAUUUUGGACAAUGGGCGAAAGCCUGAUCCAGCAAUGCCGCGUGCAGGAGAAGGCCUGGUUGUAACUAGCUUUGUA
rnacentral:rRNA from 1 species